rnacentral:lncRNA from 1 species
AGGUGGGAAACACCCCUUUCCUGACUCCCUGAUUCUGAACUGGGCUGUCCAUCAACAAUGCAAGGUCUGAGUUCCAGGGGUCCGGUGGGCAGGCCACAUCAUGCAUGUGGUGUGAGGGCCUGAAGGUGCUUCCACAAGACGGAUGCUCAGAGUCAUUUUACUCUGAUUGAAGGCCUUCCCACCCAGCCAGCAUUUGACAAGCACCACUAACAAGCAGUGAAAUUGACUGGCUGAUUCCAUCUCUCCAUCCUUUCAAACUCUUGCUAAUGAGCAGGCGAAUCACAAACAGGGAAAAGAGGGAAGAGGCAGGAUGCUCGGAUAAUCCCCCAACUGGAACACCCCUUCUGCAGUCAUUGCAGUCAUGUGGACAUGCACCAGCUGGAUUUGAUAUUUAAAGGAGAAGUCGACUGAUGUUCUUUCAAUUCCUCCACAUUAUGAAAACUGAUUCCAGUUUAAGGAAAAUUCUAGUUACUGUACAGCGUGAGUCUCCGACUGAGCCCUCUCAGGAUGAUCAGCGCUGGCUUCCUCUCUUGCUGCCUCUUUAUGUAAGACACGCCAUCUCAGACGUGGGGACGGCACCCCUGGACCAAGUCCCCAUGCCUCCACGGAGCCAAAACACAGACCUUUCCUGCUGCACACUCACUUAGGAGCACCGAUAAUCCAGAAGCACUUCCAGAAAUAAAGGUGGAAAAUGAUUCUAGACAGUGCUUCAUAUUCUAUAGCUUGAAAUUUCUUAAAAGAGGCAAUAACGCUUCCUAAUUUGUAAAAUACAGAAAAAAAUUCCAUUUCAUAAAAAUGAUAUUAGUGUAACACUGACAAUGGCGAUGACACAGUCACAAAUCACCCCUGUCCCAUCAGAUCUAUUCCCUUUCCGCUUCAGGCUUUUUGAAGGUGUUAUAAAAAUAAACAUUUUAAUAAA